GAUGAACGCUGGCGGCGUGCCUAAUACAUGCAAGUCGAGCGAACGGACGAGAAGCUUGCUUCUCUGACGUUAGCGGCGGACGGGUGAGUAACACGUGGAUAACCUACCUAUAAGACUGGGAUAACUUCGGGAAACCGGAGCUAAUACCGGAUAAUAUUUUGAACCGCAUGGUUCAAAAGUGAAAGACGGUCUUGCUGUCACUUAUAGAUGGAUCCGCGCUGCAUUAGCUAGUUGGUAAGGUAACGGCUUACCAAGGCAACGAUGCGUAGCCGACCUGAGAGGGUGAUCGGCCACACUGGAACUGAGACACGGUCCAGACUCCUACGGGAGGCAGCAGUAGGGAAUCUUCCGCAAUGGGCGAAAGCCUGACGGAGCAACGCCGCGUGAGUGAUGAAGGUCUUCGGAUCGUAAAACUCUGUUAUUAGGGAAGAACAUAUGUGUAAGUAACUGUGCACGUCUUGACGGUACCUAAUCAGAAAGCCACGGCUAACUACGUG
rnacentral:rRNA from 1 species